rnacentral:rRNA from 1 species
UACGGGGGGGGCAAGCGUUGUUCGGAAUUACUGGGCGUAAAGGGCUCGUAGGCGGCCAACUAAGUCAGACGUGAAAUCCCCAGGCUCAACCUGGGAACUGCGUCUGAUACUGGAUGGCUUGAAUUCGGGAGAGGGAUGCAGAAUUCCAGGUGUAGCGGUGAAAUGCGUAGAUAUCUGGAGGAAUACCGUUGGCGAAGGCGGCAUCCUGGACCGACAUUGACGCUGAUGAGCGAAAGCUAGGGGAGCAAACGGG